rnacentral:tRNA from 1 species
CCUGAUAGCUCAGUUGGUAAAGAAUCUGCCUGCAAUGCAGGAGGCCCGGGUUCAAUCCCUGGGUCAGGA